GAUGAACGCUAGCUACAGGCUUAACACAUGCAAGUCGCGGGGCAGCAUGGGGGUUGCUUGCAACUCCCGAUGGCGACCGGCGCACGGGUGAGUAACGCGUAUCCAACCUGCCCUUCACCACGGGAUAACCCGGCGAAAGUCGGACUAAUACCGUAUGUUGUCCAUUGACGGCAUCCGAUUUGGACGAAAGGCUUUGCGGUGAAGGAUGGGGAUACGUCCGAUUAGCCAGACGGCGGGGUAACGGCCCACCGUGGCUACGAUCGGUAGGGGUUCUGAGAGGAAGGUCCCCCACACUGGAACUGAGACACGGUCCAGACUCCUACGGGAGGCAGCAGUGAGGAAUAUUGGUCAAUGGGCGUAAGCCUGAACCGGCCAAGUAGCGUGCAGGAUGACGGCCCUAUGGGUUGUAAACUGCUUUUAUGCGGGGAUAAAGUGGCCCACGUGUGGGCUUUUGCAGGUACCGCAUGAAUAAGGACCGGCUAAUUCCGUG
rnacentral:rRNA from 1 species